rnacentral:rRNA from 1 species
CCAGGGAACUUAGCAGAGAUGCUUUGGUGCCUUCGGGAACUCUGAGACAGGUGCUGCAUGGCUGUCGUCAGCUCGUGUUGUGAAAUGUUGGGUUAAGUCCCGCAACGAGCGCAACCCUUAUCCUUUGUUGCCAGCGGUUAGGCCGGGAACUCAAAGGAGACUGCCAGUGAUAAACUGGAGGAAGGUGGGGAUGACGUCAAGUCAUCAUGGCCCUUACGAGUAGGGCUACACACGUGCUACAAUGGCGCAUACAAAGAGAAGCGACCUCGCGAGAGCAAGCGGACCUCAUAAAGUGCGUCGUAGUCCGGAUUGGAGUCUGCAACUCGACUCCAUGAAGUCGGAAUCGCUAGUAAUCGUGGAUCAGAAUGCCACGGUGAAUACGUUCCCGGGCCUUGUACACACCGCCCGUCACACCAUGGGAGUGGGUUGCAAAAGAAGUAGGUAGCUUAACCUUCGGGAGGGCGCUUACCACUUUGUGAUUCAUGACUGGGGUGAAGUCGUAACAAGGUAGGCGUAGUGCU